UACAGAGGUCUCAAGCGUUGUUCGGAUUCAUUGGGCGUAAAGGGUGUGUAGGUGGCGCCGUAAGUCGGGUGUGAAAUUUCGGAGCUUAACUCCGAAACUGCAUUCGAUACUGCGGUGCUUGAGGACUGGAGAGGAGACUGGAAUUCAUGGUGUAGCAGUGAAAUGCGUAGAGAUCAUGAGGAAGACCCAGUGGCGAAGGCGGGUCUCUGGACAGUUCCUGACACUGAGACACGAAGGCCAGGGGAGCAAACGGG
rnacentral:rRNA from 1 species